rnacentral:rRNA from 1 species
UACGUAGGUGGCAAGCGUUGUCCGGAAUUACUGGGCGUAAAGGGCGUGUAGGCGGCCUUUUAAGUCAGACGUGAAAACCCUGGGCUUAACCCAGGACCUGCGUUUGAUACUGAAGGGCUUGAGGACCGGAGAGGACAGUGGAAUUCCCAGUGUAGCGGUGAAAUGCGUAGAUAUUGGGAGGAACACCAGUGGCGAAGGCGACUGUCUGGACGGCACCUGACGCUGAGGCGCGAAAGCCAGGGGAGCAAAC